UACCAGACUCCUACGGGAGGCAGCAGUGGGGAAUAUUGCACAAUGGGGGAAACCCUGAUGCAGCGACGCCGCGUGAGUGAAGAAGUAUUUCGGUAUGUAAAGCUCUAUCAGCAGGAAAGAAAAUGACGGUACCUGACUAAGAAGCCCCGGCUAACUACGUGCCAGCAGCCGCGGUAAUACGUAGGGGGCAAGCGUUAUCCGGAUUUACUGGGUGUAAAGGGAGCGUAGACGGUGAAGCAAGUCUGAAGUGAAAGGGGGGGGCUCAACCCCCGGACUGCUUUGGAAACUGUUUGACUGGAGUGCAGGAGAGGUAAGUGGAAUUCCUAGUGUAGCGGUGAAAUGCGUAGAUAUUAGGAGGAACACCAGUGGCGAAGACGGCUUACUGGACUGUAACUGACGUUGAGGCUCGAAAGCGUGGGGAGCAAACAGGAUUAGAUACCCGUGUA
rnacentral:rRNA from 1 species